AUUGAACGCUGGCGGCAGGCCUAACACAUGCAAGUCGAACGAGUGGCGGACGGGUGAGUAAUGUCUGGGAAACUGCCCGAUGGAGGGGGAUAACUACUGGAAACGGUAGCUAAUACCGCAUACCAUCGGAUGUGCCCAGAUGGGAUUAGCUAGUAGGUGGGGUAACGGCUCACCUAGGCGACGACCCCUAGCUGGUCUGAGAGGAUGACCAGCCACAUGGGAACUGAGACACGGUCCAGACUCCGACGGGAGGAAGAAGUGGGGAAUAUUGCAAAAUGGGGGCAAGCCUGAUGAAGCAAUGCCGCGUGGAUGAAGAAGGCCGUCGGGUGGUAAAGUACUUUCAGCGAGGAGGCGUUACUCGCAGAAGAAGCAACGGCUAACUCCGUGCCAGCCGCCGCGGUAAUUC
rnacentral:rRNA from 1 species